rnacentral:rRNA from 1 species
UACAGAGGUCUCAAGCGUUGUUCGGAUUCAUUGGGCGUAAAGGGUGCGUAGGCGGCGCGGUAAGUCGGGUGUGAAAUCUCGGAGCUUAACUCCGAAACUGCAUUCGAUACUGCCGUGCUUGAGGACUGGAGAGGAGACUGGAAUUUACGGUGUAGCGGUGAAAUGCGUAGAUAUCGUAAGGAAGACCAGUGGCGAAGGCGGCCGACUGGUCCGGUUCUGACGCUGAGGCGCGAAAGCGUGGGGAGCAAACAGG